rnacentral:tRNA from 1 species
GGGGGUGUAGCUCAGUGGUAGAGCGCGUGCUUAGCAUGCACGAGGUCCUGGGUUCAAUCCCCAGCUCCUCCA